rnacentral:miRNA from 1 species
GGCCCCGGGCCGGGCCGCCACG